UUGGCCUCACUUUUUUAAAACUGGAAAUCUAUCUAGCUUCCAAUUCGAUGAAGCAGGAUCCAUUUGUGAGGCCUAAAGCUAUGUUCUCCUCGCUAUCCAGAGUUUCACUUUACAUGAUUCAUUUGGACGUCGGAGAACUACAUUU